GAUGAACGCUGGCGGCGUGCUUAACACAUGCAAGUCGAACGAAGCACUUUAUUACGAUUUCUUCGGAAUGACGAUUUAGUGACUGAGUGGCGGACGGGUGAGUAACGCGUGGGUAACCUGCCUUAUACAGGGGGAUAACAGUUAGAAAUGACUGCUAAUACCGCAUAAGCGCACAGGAUUGCAUGAUCUGGUGUGAAAAACUCCGGUGGUAUAAGAUGGACCCCGCGUUGGAUUAGCUAGUUGGUGAGGUAACGGCCCACCAAGGCGACGAUCCAUAGCCGACCUGAGAGGGUGACCGGCCACAUUGGGACUGAGACACGGCCCAAACUCCUACGGGAGGCAGCAGUGGGGGAAUAUUGCACAAUGGGCGAAAGCCUGAUGCAGCGACGCCGCGUGAGCGAAGAAGUAUUUCGGUAUGUAAAGCUCUAUCAGCAGGGAAGAUAAUGACGGUACCUGACUAAGAAGCACCGGCUAAAUACGUGCCAGCAG
rnacentral:rRNA from 1 species